GUGAGUCAUCGAAUCUUUGAACGCACAUUGCGCCCGCCAGUAUUCUGGCGGGCAUGCCUGUUCGAGCGUCAUUUCAACCCUCAAGACCCCUUCGGGGGACUUGGUGUUGGGGACCGGCACAGGGCCUGCUUGCUUGUCUCGCAGCGCCUCGCCGCCUCCGAAAUGAAUUGGCGGCCUCGUCGCGGCCUCCUCUGCGUAGUAGCACAACCUCGCAACGGGAGCGUGACGCGGCCACUGCCGUAAAACAACCCAAUUUUAUUAGAGUUGACCUCGAAUCAGGUAGGAAUACCCGCUGAACUU
rnacentral:misc_RNA from 1 species